GUUAAGAUGGCAGAGCCCGGCAAUUGCAUAAAAUU
rnacentral:tRNA from 1 species